UUAAUUGAAGCCAAAAAGCGGCGUAUCACUGUUAAUGAUAUAACUGAAGUCAUCUUCCAAUUAAA
rnacentral:tRNA from 1 species